AACAUCGCGCACCUGCGGGAACCUGCGGAAGGAUCAUUAUGAAUUUGAACUUGUAGUAUGUGUGGAGCUUGUUUCAUUUACUUGAACAGCUUCCGCUGCAAUUCUUUUUCUGUGAACUGUUCUUGAGUCUCUUAAUUCUUUUUUGAAAAAGGAGCUCGAGUCGUUUUUUGUUUUCUUGUAUUUAUUCCACUUUUUUUUUUGAGUAAUUCUUGCAAAAGAAUGAAAGAAAAAAAUAAAAAC
rnacentral:misc_RNA from 1 species